AGUCGAGCGAGAAGACGUAGCAAUACGUUUGUAAAGCGGCGAACGGGUGAGGAAUACAUGGGUAACCUACCCUCGAGUGGGGAAUAACUAGCCGAAAGGUUAGCUAAUACCGCAUACGACUCCUGGUCUGCGGAUCGGGAGAGAAAGCGAUACCGUGGGUAUCGCGCUCUUGGAUGGGCUCAUGUCCUAUCAGCUUGUUGGUGAGGUAACGGCUCACCAAGGCUUCGACGGGUAGCUGGUCUGAGAGGACGAUCAGCCACACUGGCACUGCGACACGGGCCAGACUCCUACGGGAGGCAGCAGUAAGGAAUAUUGCGCAAUGGGCGACAGCCUGACGCAGCGACGCCGCGUGGGGGAUGAAGGUCUUCGGAUUGUAAACCCCUUUCGGCAGGGAAGAUGGAACGGGUAACCGUUCGGACGGUACCUGCAGAAGCAGCCACGGCUAACUUCGUGCCAGCAGCCGCGGUAAUACGAAGGUGGCAAGCGUUGUUCGGAUUUACUGGGCGUACAGGGAGCGUAGGCGGUUGGGUAAGCCCUCCGUGAAAUCUCCGGGCCUAACCCGGAAAGUGCGGAGGGGACUGCUCGGCUAGAGGAUGGGAGAGGAGCGCGGAAUUCCCGGUGUAGCGGUGAAAUGCGUAGAGAUCGGGAGGAAGGCCGGUGGCGAAGGCGGCGCUCUGGAACAUUUCUGACGCUGAGGCUCGAAAGCGUGGGGAGCAAACAGGAUUAGAUACCCUGGUAGUCCACGCCUUAAACGA
rnacentral:rRNA from 1 species